rnacentral:misc_RNA from 1 species
AUCGAUCACUCUGCUGCCUGGCGUUGGACGCGACGCACCGCCAUCUUGAGCCAAGCUGUUGGGCCUGUGGAUUAACCUCCUUCUCUCGCAAGCCAUGGCAAUGGAUGCGCAGCAGCAGAACAAGAACUUGGAGGGCGUCAAGAAGGAAGCUCAGACGCCCAAGACCAACGAGAAUGGCAGCGAUAUGGACAAUUUCCGAGGUGGGAGAGGAGGCGGCCGCGGCAGCUUCCGUGGCAACCGGGGCGGAGGACCUGGCGGCCCUGGAGGACGAGGCGGCGGCAAUGCGUCUGCGGGCUCAGUGCAAACCUCCACACCGGUGCCCGGAGGUAUCGGCAGCCUAGGGCAGAGUAACAAUCUCGGGCAAGUUGCUCAGGGCGGUGGCGGCGGCGGCGGUGGUGGCGGUGGCGGCGGCGGCGGCGGCGGCGUCGGCGUCGUUGGCGGCGGCGUUGGCGGCGGCGGCGGCGGCGGCGGCGGCGGGGCGAGAGGAGGCUACAACGACCGCAAUGAACGUGGUGGAGGUGGAGGGUUUUAUCGUGGCGGCAGGGGCGGCCGUGGGGGUCGCGGCGGCGGCGGAGGCGGAGGCGGAGGAAAUUUCAACCAAGGCGACAGAGACAAGUUCCCUCAUGAUAGGGUUUUAGAACGUCUGAAGGCCCUCUCAGGACCAAUGAUCGACUUAGUGCCUCGUGAAGAAAAUGUCCGGAAAUUCUCAAAUCAUUGCAGACUUUGGGUUGGAAAUCUUCCUCUUGACAUCAAGGAAGAUGAUGUUAAGGAAUUGUUCAAACCAUUUGGAGAGUUUGAUGAAGUGUACUUUGACAAGAAUAAAGGCUUUGCAUUUGUGCGGAUGGACUAUAAGAGCAAUGCAGAGAAAGCAAGGCAGGAGUUACACCUGAAGGACUACAAGGGUCGGCAACUGAAGAUCAGGUUUUCUUCACCAGGCACAGCCUUGAAAGUCAGGAAUCUGUCCACUUGGGUGACAAAUGAAUUGCUGGAGAAGGCAUUUAGUGUUUUUGGAGAGCUAGAGAAAGCAGUUGUGAUCACAGAUGAACGUGGUCGUGCUACAGGUGAAGGUGUUGUGGAAUUUUGUAAGAAGCCAGCUGCUAAUUUGGCUCUCAAGAAGUGUCAGGAUGGUUGCUUCUUUAUGGUAUCGUCACCACGUCCAGUUAUUGUUGAACCAAUGGCUGUAGUGGAUGACAAUGAAGGCAUGAGUGAGAUCAAUGUAAACAAGCGAAACCCCGAGUACAUCAAGGAAAGGCAACAAGGCCCUCGUUUUGCUCAGCCAGGAUCCUUUGAAUAUGAGUAUGGCUUAAAAUGGAAGCAGUUGUAUGAACUAUUUGACAAGAAGAAAGAUUCUCUGGAAAGGGAGUUAACUGAUGAGAAGAGGAAACUUGAAGAGCAGAUUGAAUAUGCAAAAUAUGAGCAUGACACAGAAAUGUUGAGAGAACAGCUGCGUCAGAGGGAGGAAAUGAAUCAGCGCACUAAGUCAGACUUUGAACAACGCCAGCGUGAAUGGGAAGAACAUAGACGUCAAGAGGAGGAGCGUCAACGGCGACAGGAGGAGGAGUUGUCAAUGAAGUUCCGUCAGCAGGAAGAGGAACUGAGGAGGCGCCAGGAAGAGAACAGACAGUUUAUGGCAGAACGGGGAAAUGAUCUAAUGAAGAGUGAAAACAGCCAAGACAGCUUUGGCAGUGGUGGCUACCAAGGGAUGGAAGGUAGCAACUGGCGACGCACCAGUGACAGUUACGGCACACAAGGAGGCAGCAGCUGGCGUGGAGGAGGAAGCGACUCCUGGGGACGCUCAGCUGGUGCAGGUAGUCGAGGAGGUGUUGGUAGUGGCACUGGCCAGAAUUGGGGAGACAGUGCAUGGGAUGGACGUCCAGACCCUUGGCAGAGUGACAACCGUGGCAGUUACCAGAGAGGCAACAGUGAGAGUGAGUUGCCUCCUCCACCGAUGGUAUUCUGUCGAGGAAGAGGAUAUGGCUACCGACGCAACACCAGGAUGGGGGUAGUGACGUGAUGUGGAAUGCUGCGUGAACAGGGCAUCAGUUUGGCACAGCAGAAGGGUGAUGCAUUAAUAUGGGGAAGGGGGGGCAAAUAUUGAGGCACCAAGGAGGCAUUCACAACUGCACAGGGUGUAGUCAGAGGAGGUUGGCCUCUGCUGUGGGGAUAUGCACCCUGGAGUCAAGAAUAGUUAUUGAUGAGGGUGUGAACAUGUGAUGUUUUUCCCCUCUGGAAGUUUUAUUGGCUAUAAUUUUUUUUACUGUACAAAAACUUAAAUAUUCUGGAAAUAUUUAUUUAAAUUUGUUCCAUAUUCUUAAAAUUAUAUUUGUUUUAGGAUUUGAAGUCAAGCAAUCAUGUAUAUCUAAACUAUUGUAAAGUCACUAUCUUUUAUGUUGAAUGUGUGUUUUGGAAGCACUUUUGUGUUUCCUCAUUUUGUAAGAUCCCAAAUAAAAUAGAAAAAUGAA